CUUGUAUAAUCUGAAGAGACUACAAGUACUUACUGUACCACUUUUACUUUCUGUGGUAGUACCAGUGUUUAUUAUCAACGGUACCACACUCAUAAGGUUCUUGAUUUUUUAAUUGAUUUCGUUAGUACCAUUAAAUAUUGGUAUAAUAUUUUGUGUAUGGUGUAUUAAAAAGUUCUCAAUAUGGAUAUUUUAAUAGAUUUCACUGCCAUCCAGUUAAUUCGUAUUUAGAAACAAAGUUUACGAUAAAUACAUCGAAUAUGUUGUAUGUUUUAACAAAUAAGACAAAACAUGUUUUUAUUUCCAUGUCUAUUGGGUAGUGUGGAAAGUUUGGCAACCUUUUAUGAUAAUCCACCUGAAAGCACUUACAAACCUAGCGCUACACCUAUGGACGUUUUUAUGGCUUUAUUUAUGGUUUGUACUCUUGAAGUUGUUGUGAUGAAAAUUAUGGUAUUCGAUAAUACUCCGAAUUUAGAUGAAAAUAGUUCUAGGAGGUUUAUUAACGAAUUUUUUGAUCGAGAAUAAACAUUUACACUAUA